AUUGAACGCUGGCGGCAGGCCUAACACAUGCAAGUCGAACGGUAACAGGAAACAGCUUGCUGUUUCGCUGACGAGUGGCGGACGGGUGAGUAAUGUCUGGGAAACUGCCUGAUGGAGGGGGAUAACUACUGGAAACGGUAGCUAAUACCGCAUAACGUCGCAAGACCAAAGAGGGGGACCUUCGGGCCUCUUGCCAUCGGAUGCGCCCAGAUGGGAUUAGCUAGUAGGUGGGGUAACGGCUCACCUAGGCGACGAUCCCUAGCUGGUCUGAGAGGAUGACCAGCCACACUGGAACUGAGACACGGUCCAGACUCCUACGGGAGGCAGCAGUGGGGAAUAUUGCACAAUGGGCGCAAGCCUGAUGCAGCCAUGCCGCGUGUAUGAAGAAGGCCUUCGGGUUGUAAAGUACUUUCAGCGGGGAUGAAGGGAGUAAAGUUAAUACCUUUGCUCAUUGACGUUACCCGCAGAAGAAGCACCGGCUAACUCCGUG
rnacentral:rRNA from 1 species